rnacentral:rRNA from 1 species
CCUACGGGAGGCAGCAGUAGGGAAUAUUGCUCAAUGGGGGAAACCCUGAAGCAGCAAUGCCGCGUGGAGGAUGAAGGUUUUCGGAUUGUAAACUCCUUUUGUUAGAGAAGAUAAUGACGGUAUCUAACGAAUAAGCACCGGCUAACUCCGUGCCAGCCGCCGCGGUAAUACGGCGGGUGCAAGCGUUACUCGGAAUCACUGGGCGUAAAGAGCGCGUAGGGGGGAUAGCAAGUCAGAUGGGAAAUCCUAUGGCUUAACCAUAGAACUGCAGUUGAAACUGUUAUUCUAGAGUAUGGGAGAGGUAGGUGGAAUGCUUGGUGUAGGGGUAAAAUCCGUAGAGAUCAAGAGGAAUACUCAUUGCGAAGGCGACCUGCUAGAACAUAACUGACGCUGAUGCGCGAAAGCGUGGGGAGCGAACAGGAUUAGAUACCCCUGUAGUC